CUCUUCUCAUGAGCUCCUCUCCAUCCAUCAGUGAUGGUGUAUGGAUUCGCACGAGAAGUAGAGUCAACUCGCAGAUUUACAGGCAGCUGCCUCAAUCUUGGAAGUUGCCCAUGUCUGAUGCGGAACAAAA